GAUAAACGCUGGCGGCGUGCCUAAUACAUGCAAGUCGAGCGAACGGACGAGAAGCUUGCUUCUCUGAUGUUAGCGGCGGACGGGUGAGUAACACGUGGAUAACCUACCUAUAAGACUGGGAUAACUUCGGGAAACCGGAGCUAAUACCGGAUAAUAUUUUGAACCGCAUGGUUCAAAAGUGAAAGACGGUCUUGCUGUCACUUAUAGAUGGAUCCGCGCUGCAUUAGCUAGUUGGUAAGGUAACGGCUUACCAAGGCAACGAUGCAUAGCCGACCUGAGAGGGUGAUCGGCCACACUGGAACUGAGACACGGUCCAGACUCCUACGGGAGGCAGCAGUAGGGAAUCUUCCGCAAUGGGCGAAAGCCUGACGGAGCAACGCCGCGUGAGUGAUGAAGGUCUUCGGAUCGUAAAACUCUGUUAUUAGGGAAGAACAUAUGUGUAAGUAACUGUGCACAUCUUGACGGUACCUAAUCAGAAAGCCACGGCUAACUACGUGCCAGCAGCCGCGGUAAUACGUANGUGGCAAGCGUUAUCCGGAANUUAUGGGCGUAAAGCGCGCGUAGCGGUUUUUUAAGUCUGAUGUAAAGCCCACGGCUCAACCGUGGAGGGUCAUUGGAAACUGGAAAACUUGAGUGCAGAAGAGGAAAGUGGAAUUCCAUGUGUAGCGGUGAAAUGCGCAGAGAUAUGGAGGAACACCAGUGGCGAAGGCGACUUUCUGGUCUGUAACUGACGCUGAUGUGCGAAAGCGUGGGGAUCAAACAGGAUUAGAUACCCUGGUAGUCCACGCCGUAAACGAUGAGUGCUAAGUGUUAGGGGGUUUCCGCCCCUUAGUGCUGCAGCUAACGCAUUAAGCACUCCGCCUGGGGAGUACGACCGCAAGGUUGAAACUCAAAGGAAUUGACGGGGACCCGCACAAGCGGUGGAGCAUGUGGUUUAAUUCGAAGCAACGCGAAGAACUUUACCAAAUCUUGACAUCCUUUGACAACUCUAGAGAUAGAGCCUUCCCCUUCGGGGGACAAAGUGACAGGUGGUGCAUGGUUGUCGUCAGCUCGUGUCGUGAGAUGUUGGGUUAAGUCCCGCAACGAGCGCAACCCUUAAGCUUAGUUGCCAUCAUUAAGUUGGGCACUCUAAGUUGACUGCCGGUGACAAACCGGAGGAAGGUGGGGAUGACGUCAAAUCAUCAUGCCCCUUAUGAUUUGGGCUACACACGUGCUACAAUGGACAAUACAAAGGGCAGCGAAACCGCGAGGUCAAGCAAAUCCCAUAAAGUUGUUCUCAGUUCGGGUUGUAGUCUGCAACUCGACUACAUGAAGCUGGAAUCGCUAGUAAUCGUAGAUCAGCAUGCUACGGUGAAUACGUUCCCGGGUCU
rnacentral:rRNA from 1 species